UCGCUCAGGCAAAGUACCUAGUGAUCACAGCUCCUCUGUUGACUUGGCUCUUGUAGGAUCAGCACCAGCCUAAAUGGUAAGAGGCAGAGUCUCCACUUCAGGUGACCGCCACACCACCUCCCCACAUAUACCCAGCAGUGUCUAAAGACAGAGGAGCGAGAGAGAGGCGAGGCAAGGCACCGCCUGGUAGGGGUCCAGCUUGGAGACCAGCUUGGCGGAGGCCGAGAAGCCGUUCCACAUACAGUCCUGCAGGAUGAUGUUCUUCACGAAGGUCUCGUCAUCCGGGUCGCAGACGAAGCUCUGCUUCACCGCGUCUCCUCCUGGCAGCUCGGGCAGGUCUGCGGUGGAGAAGCUAUCACCGUCGUGGUCCCUGGGGGCGAAAGACACGGUGACCGCUUCGCAGGGAGGCGAGUAGAGCCCGGCGUGGCCCGGGGACGGGCGCGGCGUGGGCAGCAGCUCGAAUUUCUUCCAGAUGUCCUCGCUGGGCGCUGGCGGCUGCGGCGGCUGCUGGUGGUGCACGUCCUCCUCCUCAUCGUCGCACAUGAAGUAUAGCUGCACCGAGUCGUAGUCCAGGUCGCGGUUGCCCUUAGCGAGGCUCACGUGGAGGGGCAUGGUCGCGGCGUUGCGUUUGGAGGCGACCCGGAGGGGUGCAGGGCUGCUGCGGAAACCUGGCGCGCUGCGCAGCAGCCCCGAACCACUCCCCUUCCCAGACCCUCACUUCCGACUAUCCCGACAGUCCCUUCACCAGGCUCGGUCUCGGGCUGCAGCGGAGGGAGGAGGCGUCAGCUCGUCGCCAGACGCCACGCUCAAAGUAUCGCGCCACCUUACGGAGCGGGGCUAUAGGCGCUGCAUCCUACGUGCACAGGUUACAUUUUCGUGCACGCAGAUAACCUAUUCUCCGCAUACUCUCACUCAUUUCCUGCUAGUGUCUACCUCUCCACCUCUCAGUCCUCUUCGUUCGCCCAGUGACUCUUCUACUUUCAUGUCAUUUGUAGCACGUGUGUUUUCAUGUACCUAUGAAAUCGAGAACC
rnacentral:lncRNA from 1 species